CACACUUGAAUUAGAUUAUAUUUUCAGGCAACCUUGAGACAUGUAUGACCAAAAAUACAGUCCAUUACUCUAACUACUUAUAUGUCAGGAAUUCAGCCGACCGUCCCUCCCUCAUCUCCACAAUCUUCAGUACUAGCUAGCUGUUCCAUGAAACAAUCACACAUCUACUUACAGCCCCAGAAACAAGUUUGAAUCAAAUGCAUCUCGAGAUUAUCCUUGAAGCAAAAUUUGGACGCUGAAUCGGCGAACAAUUCUGAAACACUCUGUGUAUCCAGGUGCUACUAAUUCAAAGAUGAAUUGAUAUGGAUUACAGAUAGAUAGACUGAAGGUGCAUACAUAACUGAUUUCAACACAACAUAGCAAAACACAAGAUCUCACCCUUUCAUAGACCUUUCUAACUGUUUCCGUAUAAAAAGAUCAUCACUGUAUUAUAACUGAUUCGUGUGCUAGUACAAGUAAAGCAAAACACAAGUAAUUCAGAUGAUAUUGUAAUCUACCAUUCACCGUGCAGUCAAGCAGAUUCAUCACACGAGCACAUAUCCAGAGCCCAGCGUCAUUUACAUCCUGAGCUAAUCUGGAGGAGGAGGAGGAGGAGAGGAGUUUGCAUACCUGGGAAGAGAAGAGGCGGAAGCGGGGGAGCAGGGGCCGAAGAGGCCAUCGCUGGGAUCGGGAAGGGAGCAGUCACGCAGGGCUCGGCUUCGUCUCCGGCUAUUCCCCUUGACUGUGGCCGCGGAGCAGGAGCUGAAGAGGACAUCCGC
rnacentral:lncRNA from 1 species